rnacentral:rRNA from 1 species
GAUGAACGCUAGCGAUAGGCUUAACACAUGCAAGUCGAGGGGCAGCAUGGUCUUAGCUUGCUAAGACUGAUGGCGACCGGCGCACGGGUGCGUAACGCGUAUGCAACUUGCCUCACAGAGGGGGAUAACCCGUCGAAAGACGGACUAAUACCGCGUACACUCUAUGUUGGGCAUCCAAUGUAGAGGAAAUGAAAUUCGCUGUGAGAUAGGCAUGCGUCCCAUUAGCUAGUUGGUGAGGUAACGGCUCACCAAGGCGACGAUGGGUAGGGGAACUGAGAGGUUGAACCCCCACACUGGUACUGAGACACGGACCAGACUCCUACGGGAGGCAGCAGUGAGGAAUAUUGGUCAAUGGGCGAGAGCCUGAACCAGCCAAGUCGCGUGAAGGAUGACUGUCUUAUGGAUUGUAAACUUCUUUUAUACGGGAAUAACAAUGAGUCACGUGUGACUGCCCUGC